rnacentral:tRNA from 1 species
GCCGAAGUAGCUCAGUGGUAGAGCGGCAGAUUGAAGAUCUGCGCGUCGGUGGUUCGAUCCCAUCCUUCGGCACCA